CCUGGUGUGUACCCGCCAGUUCACUAGAUCGGCAUGCGUCGGGGGCCAACCCCGGGGUGUGAAGCCUGAUCGACAAUGUCCCCUCUCGUCAGAGAAGCGCAAUCCGGUGACGGAGUGCGCGGUAUGUCCGAAUUGCACGGGCAUACGGGG
rnacentral:ncRNA from 1 species